ACAGCCACGUUCCGUUCCUUUCGUUGAUUAAUGUUUCCAUCUUCGACUCCCUGAUUAUUCGGGAUUGAAAACUCAUUUCCGCGUUUCCAUUUUCGAUCCCAAAUCAAGAACAUGGUCCUCUUUACAAUCAACAUACACCGAACCAACACCUUUAGCGAUUUCGGAAAUUAUUGGAUUUCCAAAACGCGCUUUGAGACAAUGCUAUAAAUAGUUAUACCAGCCUUCUCCACACCAUCGUUACCACCCUCCUUCCUCACAUAACCCGACACCUUAUCACCCACGAAUCCUCUCAUAACCACUCUUGACACCGCCCUCACAACACCCUUCGCACAUCCCGCACUCCCCUUCGUCUGCACUAGCCAUCGACGGAGCAUUUGGGACUCGCCGGAGUUCCUUGAGUUACGUCGGAACCCGGCGCAAACCGGUUCGACAAAGAAAAGUCACCAUAGUUUUACUCACUCUCGAACACCCUCAGCUUCGUCGGAGGAAACAAGAAGACAGACGGAGAACACGCCCUCACCGGAGAAAGCCGACAUCACUGAAGUUCAUGCCGGACUUUUACGAUGGAACUCGACAAGUAACUGUUUCGGUUAAUCGCUUUGCUCGUUCUCUUGGAUUCUCCAAACUUUACUCGUGCGUUAUUACAAGAAAACGCAACGCAACCAAUGUUGAAUGAUCAAGAAAACAAGAAUCAAGUUAGGAUGGACAUUAGAAACCCAUUUUAGCAAUAAACUAUGUUUAAAUUUAUGUUUUGGAUAUUUGAAAUUUGUAUUGUUCCUUAGUUUUAAUAAAUGGAUUAAUUUUAUAUUAUCA